rnacentral:rRNA from 1 species
UUAAGCCAUGCGAGUCGAACGAGUUUAGGCUCGUGGCGUACGGCUCAGUAACACGUGGAUAACCUACCCUUAGGAUCGGGAUAACCUUGGGAAACUGAGGAUAAUACUGGAUAGGCAAUUAUUCCUGCAAUGGUUUUUUGUUUAAAUGUUUUUUCGCCUAAGGAUGGGUCUGCGGCCGAUUAGGUAGUUGGUUAGGUAAUGGCCUACCAAGCCGUUGAUCGGUACGGGUUGUGAGAGCAAGAGCCCGGAGAUGGAACCUGAGACAAGGUUCCAGGCCCUACGGGGUGCAGCAGGCGCGAAACCUCCGCAAUGUGAGAAAUCGCGACGGGGGGAUUCCAAGUGCCAUUCUUAACGGGAUGGCUUUUCAUUAGUGUAAAGAGCUUUUGGAAUAAGGGCUGGGCAAGACCGGUGCCAGCCGCCGCGGUAA